GUUUGGUAUUUAGUUUCUAUUUUUUGUUUUAGUAUAUGUUUUCCUUGAUUUUUCGCAUCUUUGACAUGGUAUUGUCAGUUUCUCUUUGACCUAAUGACCUGUAAGCAUCUUUUCAACUCUUUUUUCCCUCUUGAUUACUGCUUUAAAAGGGAACAUCAACUUGAUUUUUACUUAAUUCAUAUCCUUUUUUUUCGUUCGUACUACUGAACUUAAAUGACGGUUUUUGAUGAACUGUUGUUUGUGUGUUUGUCUUCGGUUGUCUGUCUUAUCUUUUUUAGUUAACACCUGAUAGUUUUUUUCCUUUUACCCUAUCUACAUUAAGGCUGGUUGUGGUUUUUGUCCCAAAAGUAACGUUUCAUCAUUUUGGAUAAUUUAAUUAUUUCUAAACACAUGAAGAUUGAUUCUUAUUGUUGUCACUUCAAUUGAAUUUGAGAGGACUUUUAUACAAGUGAGACCUUUAGCUAGCAAUCAAACCAGGCAAAUCUACGUUGUUCUACCUAAAAAUUACUGUACAACGAAAGAAUUAUCACAGGUGUUUU
rnacentral:lncRNA from 1 species